rnacentral:tRNA from 1 species
GGGGGUGUAGCUCAUUUGGCAGAGCGCGUCAUUAGCAUCUUGACGAGGUACUGGGUUCAAUUCCCAGCUCCUCCA